UACGUAGGGGGCUAGCGUUGCUCGGAAUCACUGGGCGUAAAGCGCACGUAGGCGGGUCGUUAAGUCAGGGGUGAAAUCCUGGAGCUCAACUCCAGAACUGCCUUUGAUACUGGCGACCUUGAGUCCGGGAGAGGUGAGUGGAACUGCGAGUGUAGAGGUGAAAUUCGUAGAUAUUCGCAAGAACACCAGUGGCGAAGGCGGCUCACUGGCCCGAUACUGACGCUGAUGCACGAAAGCGUGGGGAGCAAACAGG
rnacentral:rRNA from 1 species